rnacentral:rRNA from 1 species
AGCGAACGCUGGCGGCAGGCCUAACACAUGCAAGUCGAACGAAGUCUUCGGACUUAGUGGCGGACGGGUGAGUAACACGUGGGAACGUACCUUUUGGUUCGGAACCACUCAGGGAAACUUGAGCUAAUACAGGAUGAGGCCUGAGGGGGAAAGAUUGAUCGCCGAAAGAGCGGCCCGCGUUAGAUAAGCUAGUUGGUGAGGUAAAGGCUCACCAAGGCUACGAUCUAUAGCUGGUCUGAGAGGAUGAUCAGCCACACUGGGACUGAGACACGGCCCAGACUCCUACGGGAGGCAGCAGUGGGGAAUCUUGCGCAAUGGGCGAAAGCAUGAAGCAGCCAUGCCGCGUGAAUGAUGAAGGUCUUAGGAUUGUAAAAUUCUUUUACCACGGGCGAUAAUGACGGUACCUGGAGAAAAAGCCCCGGCUAACUUCGUGCCAGCCGCCGCCGUAAUAC